CAUGGUUUUUUUGAUUAUAAUUUAAAAUUUAAUCUGCUCAAUGAUUAUUUAAAUUGCCGCAGUAUUUUAAUUGUGCAAAGGUAGCAUAAUAAUUAGUUUCUUUAUUGGGAGCUGGAAUGAAUGAUUGGACGAUAAAAUGACUGUCUCUGAUUAAAUGUUUAAUUAAUUUUAUUUUUAAGUUAAAAAGCUUAAAUUUUUUUAAAAGACGAGAAGACCCUAUAGAGUUUAAUAUUAAAUAGUUAUAAGAUUUUGGCAAUGAUUUUAAUUUUUUAUUAUUUAGUUGGGGUGACUUGAAAAUUGAAUAAAUUUUUUAAAAUUUAAAUUUUUUAUUUGAAAUUAUUUGAUCUAGUUUUUAAAAUUAAAAUAAAUUACCUUAGGGAUAACAGCGUAAUUUUUCUUAGAGUUCUUAUCGAAAGAAAAGCUUGCGACCUCGAUGUUGGAUUAAAGUUAAUUUUAGGUGCAGUAGCCUAAAUAUUAAGUCUGUUCGACUUUUAAAAUUUUACAUGAUCUGAGUUUAGACCGGCGUGAGCCAGGUCGGAUUCUAUCUUUAAUUAUAUAUUAUAUUUUAGUACGAAAGGACCAAAUAUUAAUUAAAUUAAUUG
rnacentral:rRNA from 1 species